rnacentral:misc_RNA from 1 species
UCAAAUUUAAAAGUUCUCAAAUCNUAUGACUCUNAUGAGUGAUAGGUACCAACACACAUUCAAGUGUUCUUGGGUUUUCACGUAAGUGAAAACAUAUUUGAGUCCGGCGAAAAUCGAACGUCUCUCACUCAUAAAAUAGAGAGACAACCUUGGUUGUUUGCCAUACAUAAAGACCUCUUGGGGUUGUAUGGUUAAGUGACUCACCGAACAUAAAGACCUCUUGGGGUUGUAUGGUUAAGUGACUCAC